GUUCACAUGCCAUCUGUCACUACAAUUUUAGCAGAAUACCCUUCACACACAUUCUACUGUUAUUGUCGACGAGAAAUGUGCUACUGCCGAUAGAAAAGUGCUACUACCGGUAAUAUUGCAAUUUUUUCCGGUAAUUCUCCAUAACCAAACAAGCUAGCUGCUGCUGCUACUAUUGUUUAAAUCAUUGCUGCAAUGUUGCAUGCUACUGUUAUUAUUGUUGCAAUGAUGUUGCUGCUAUUGUUUAAAUCCUUACUGCAAAUUUGCUACUGCUAUUGACACGACCCACCCCGAAUUUCACCCUGAAAUCCAGAGUAAGUCGUGCGGGGACCACCUCCAAGGAAAAUUUACUAAAAAGAUUAAGCAAAUCUCCCUUGCAGAUGGACAACCCUAACUGGAAAAUUUCAUAUUACACUCUUAAUUUAACGCUUCUGAAUAUCACAUAAUAUACAAAAUUCUAAAGUAUUCAGAGCUACUAAACACAAGCGGAAGCAAGAAAACACAAGUAGGUUGAACAGGUAACCUACUGAUGAA
rnacentral:lncRNA from 1 species